UACGUAGGGCGCAAGCGUUGUCCGGAAUUAUUGGGCGUAAAGAGCUCGUAGGCGGUCUGUCGCGUCCGUUGUGAAAACUCGAGGCUCAACCUCGGGCUUGCAGUGGAUACGGGCAGACUAGAGUGCGGUAGGGGAGACUGGAAUCCUGGUGUAGCGGUGGAAUGCGCAGAUAUCAGGAGGAACACCGGUGGCGAAGGCGGCUCACUGGCCCGGUACUGACGCUGAGGUGCGAAAGCGUGGGGAGCAAACAGGACU
rnacentral:rRNA from 1 species